CUUGCGCCGUCGGCGUAAGGAGAAGCGCAUCCUACGACGGAAGCGUGCUGCGCAACCGGCAGGCUGCGCUCCCGUAGAGCUCUUCUCCCGUUGCGUUUACACUAGAAAACCGCACGCGACGGCCGCCCGUUUUUAAAAGGUUCGUGUAACAUGGAUCAGGCAAAAGCCACAAGCCACAGCUGGCGUAUUCUGCCCUGAAGUGCUCUUCCGGACAAGCCCCGUGGGAGUUACCUGAAGAUGCAGCACGGCGGGGCCUGCUCAGCGAACCGUCGGAGGCUGCUCCACGAUCCCACUGGUCCCAAAUGGGGUCUGACCAGAGAAAUUCCACGUGGAUUGUGCCGUGUACCUUUAUCAUUAUCAUUAUUUAUUAUUAUUAACAGGGAUUAUUAACAGCAAAAUAAA